rnacentral:misc_RNA from 1 species
CGCACCUUGCGCUCCUUGGUAUUCCGAGGAGCAUGCCCGUUUGAGUGUCUUGAAACCGUCGGCCCCCGGAUUUGCGUCCGGCGGGCCGGACUUGGGGGCUGCUGCCGCGAGGCGGCUCCCCUUAAAUGCAUCGGUCGUGGCCCGUCGGCCUGCGUCCCUGGCGUUGUAUCACCCUCGCCUCUGCGGACUCGGCCCUGAGCCCGACCCCGACCGCUUCUGGAGCGGCGGUCAACACCCUUUCGAGUUCUGACCUCAAAUCGGGUAGGACUACCCGCUGAACUUAA